rnacentral:rRNA from 1 species
CCUACGGGUGGCAGCAGUGAGGAAUAUUGGUCAAUGGACGAGAGUCUGAACCAGCCAAGUAGCGUGAAGGAUGACUGCCCUAUGGGUUGUAAACUUCUUUUAUAAAGGAAUAAAACGAGGCACGUGUGCCUUUUUGCAUGUACUUUAUGAAUAAGGAUCGGCUAACUCCGUGCCAGCAGCCGCGGUAAUACGGAGGAUCCGAGCGUUAUCCGGAUUUAUUGGGUUUAAAGGGAGCGUAGAUGGGUUGUUAAGUCAGUUGUGAAAGUUUGCGGCUCAACCGUAAAAUUGCAAUUGAUACUGGCAGUCUUGAGGACAGUUGAGGUAGGCGGAAUUCGUGGUGUAGCGGUGAAAUGCUUAGAUAUCACGAAGAACCCCGAUUGCGAAGGCAGCUUACGAAACUGUGACUGACAUUGAUGCGCGAAAGUGUGGGUAGCAAACAGGAUUAGAUACCCUUGUAGUC